UUGAGCCGUAUGAGUAGCAAUAGUCAAGUACGGUUCUUAGGGGGCUGCGGGGUGGCGACAUCCCAAUGCUACCCGAC
rnacentral:ncRNA from 1 species